rnacentral:snRNA from 1 species
GUGCUUGCUUUGGGAGCACAUAUACUAAAAUUGGAGUGAUACCGAGAAGAUUAGCAUGGCCCCUGUGCAAGGAUGACAAGCAAAUUUGUGAGGCAUUCCAUAUUUUU